UGCCUCUGGUGGCCCGGCAGCACCGUCCCACCUCUGCCACCCUCCGAUGGGGCCGCUACCUGCGUGCCUGCCAAUCAUGCUGCUCCUGCUGCUGCUGCUGCUGCUGCUGCUUGGACCUGGCCCCAGGUCUGGCGAGGCACACAGGGAUCAAAGGGGAAGAAGGUGUCCAGUGGGUUUGUGCAGGUCUGCACUGAGUCUCCUCCAGUGGUACUCCUAAUGACUGGCAGCAUCUGGCGAUUGUUCCUCUCAAUGAUGGUGUAGCAG
rnacentral:lncRNA from 1 species